rnacentral:piRNA from 1 species
UGCUUGUACUGAAUUCUGAUAUGACUAAAG